rnacentral:rRNA from 1 species
UACGUAGGGUCCAAGCGUUAAUCGGAAUUACUGGGCGUAAAGCGUGCGCAGGCGGUUCGUUAAGUCAGCUGUGAAAGCCCCGGGCUCAACCUGAGAUUGCGGUUGAAACUGGCGAACUAGAAUCUGGCAGAGGGGGGUGGAAUUCCACGUGUAGCAGUGAAAUGCGUAGAGAUGUGGAGGAACACCGAUGGCGAAGGCAGCCCCCUGGGCUGAGAUUGACGCUCAGGCACGAAAGCGUGGGGAGCAAACAGG